CCCCCCCCCCACCCCACGCCUCCGCCUCCACCUCCCCUCCAGCCUAUCUCACCUCCGUCAGCCUUCAACCCUCCGUCUCCCCUCCAGCCUCCGCCUCCCAUCCGGCCUCCGGUGGCGACCUCCCCUCUGGCCUCGGGCCCUCCGCCUCCCUCCAGCGACGGUGAGCUUGGUGGCGACCAUGGCGAGGGUGAGCAGGUCGGGAGGGCCUACCAUGCCUCGGGCUGGCCCGUAGCCUUCCGAGCUCGUGCCUAGGCCGCCGGCACAGCUCGUGGGCGGGUACGGCACGGUGGCGCCGUAGUGCUGAGCCGAGCUCAUGCCGGACCGAGUCGGACGGUCCAUUUGGACAUCUGUACCUAUCUCCUUGUUAAGCUACCACACCCGCAAGCUCCCAUGCCCAGAGAUAUGCUUCAGGAGACCUGAAUAUUCUUCUGUUUCUAUAUUCUCAUGUGGCUUUCUUUGUAUUUUCUUUGGUCGUGUCCUGUUGAUUCCAAACAGGACCUGUUCUGGAACACGGGAAUUUCACAAAGGGAAAAAACAAGGCCAUGUUUAGUUCACCCCCAACUCCCAACUUUGGCACUAUGCAAAAAGAAGAUUCCCCAUCACAUCAAAUUUGCGGUACAUGCAUGGAGUACUAAACGUAGACGAAAUC
rnacentral:lncRNA from 1 species